AGAGAGAGAGAGAGAGAGACAUGGUCAGAACCAACUGUAUUGGCUAGAGACUUCAGAACUGCCAAUUCACAUACCAAAAAAUUCGGCUACUUUGCCAAAAAGGAACAAAAAUAAAAAAUGAAAUGGGUUCUAAGAAAGUACAAUGAAAAUCGGCUAGACUAAUUGAGAACGAUUUUAACGGUUUGUUCUCAGCGAGAAUCCAAAUAAAAACAAAGAGAUCUUUCUGAGAUAUCAGUGGAACUGUAUCAGUGGUUCAGCAACAGCCAUCUAGCCUUAGCUGCUUUAGAGAUAGUUCAGUAGCUUUGGACUUCAAAAGCAUCUUUUUUCCAUCAACAUUCCUUUUUCACAACUUGCUUUUUCAACAAAAUCUUAACUAAAUAUAAAUACUACAGAACUAAUUCACUAGAAACAAAGUCUUGCAAAGAAAAUAUCUCCCACGUGAUAUCCAGGGUAGGGUUUCAAAUAACAGGCUGUUGCAUCCUGUAUUGCCCAAGAUGCAACAAAAAAAAUGGACUGGAAGAGAGAGAGAGAGAGA
rnacentral:misc_RNA from 1 species